UACGUAGGUGGCGAGCGUUGUCCGGAAUUACUGGGUGUAAAGGGCGUGUAGGCGGGAAGGUAAGUCAGAUGUGAAAUACCGGGGCUCAACCCCGGGGCUGCAUUUGAAACUAUCUUUCUUGAGUGCAGGAGAGGAAAGUGGAAUUCCUAGUGUAGCGGUGAAAUGCGUAGAUAUUAGGAGGAACACCAGUGGCGAAGGCGACUUUCUGGACUGUAACUGACGCUGAGGCGAGAAAGCGUGGGGAGUGAACAGG
rnacentral:rRNA from 1 species